UGCCAGCAGCCGCGGUAAUACGAAGGGUGCUAGCGUUGUUCGGAAUUACUGGGCGUAAAGAGCAUGUAGGCGGAUGAAUUAGUCAGAGGUGAAAGCCCCGAGCUCAACUUGGGAACUGCCUUUGAUACUGUUUAUCUAGAGUCCGAGAGAGGUUAGUGGAAUUCCCAGUGUAGAGGUGAAAUUCGUAGAUAUUGGGAAGAACACCAGUGGCGAAGGCGGCCCCUUGGACAAGAACUGACGCUCAUGUGCGAAAGCGUGGGGAGCAAACAGGAUUAGAUA
rnacentral:rRNA from 1 species